rnacentral:misc_RNA from 1 species
AUCAUCAAAUCCGCUUGGAACAAAGAGGCCAAAUCAGGCCUCGACAUGCGGAACUUCGCCGUCUUCGUUUCUCUUUCAUUUUCCGGGCGAAUGCGCCUGGUCGCUGCGGCAUCUGGCCGCCUGCGCCGCGCAUUCUGGGCCAACGCUUAGGUCUUUGGCCGCGCCUCGAGGCGUUUUCGUCUUGUGGUCGCAUGCCUUGGGCCUGUAGCUCAGUUGGUUAGAGCGCGCGCUUGAUAAGCGUGAGGUCGGAGGUUCAAAUCCUCCCAGGCCCACCAACUUUUCAGGCCUUCGGGCUUGAAUCGGGGCCAUAGCUCAGUUGGGAGAGCGGUAGCUUUGCAAGCUUCAGGUCGUCGGUUCGAUCCCGUCUGGCUCCACCAAGAACUGCCCGGAAAUUCAGGUUUUGCUGAUCGCUGCUCUUUGAGCGGGGAUGAGUAACGCUGUUUGUCAUUGUGAAGAGGGAAUAGAUUCGAGAGCUGCACUCUCGCAGCGCGCUCGCGGUUACCAAACCGCGUGGUGGAAUCGGGUCUAUUCGGCAAGCAAAAAUGGUCUUUCUGAUCUUGCUCCGUGGUUUCUAGUGAACUGCGGACAUCGAUCAUGAGAACGAUCAAGUGCCUUAAGAGCAUUCGGUGGAUGCCUUGGCGCUGAGAGGCGAUGAAGGACGUGAUACGCUGCGAUAAGCCGU